rnacentral:rRNA from 1 species
UGGGGAAUUUUGGACAAUGGGGGAAACCCUGAUCCAGCCAUCCCGCGUGUGCGAUGAAGGCCUUCGGGUUGUAAAGCACUUUUGGCAGGAAAGAAACGUCAUGGGUUAAUACCCCGUGAAACUGACGGUACCUGCAGAAUAAGCACCGGCUAACUACGUGCCAGCAGCCGCGGUAAUACGUAGGGUGCAAGCGUUAAUCGGAAUUACUGGGCGUAAAGCGUGCGCAGGCGGUUCGGAAAGAAAGAUGUGAAAUCCCAGAGCUCAACUUUGGAACUGCAUUUUUAACUACCGGGCUAGAGUGUGUCAGAGGGAGGUGGAAUUCCGCGUGUAGAAGUGAAAGGCGUAGAUAUGCGGAGGAACACCGAUGGAGAAGGCAGACUCCUGGGAUAACACUGACGCUCAUGCACGAAAGCGUGGGGAGCAAACAGG